CUAAAGCCACAUGUGGCUACCAGAGUCACCUUCAUGUGCACAUCUGAUGAUGACAUUCUUGUCCUUAAGAACCUUCACUGGCCACUCACGCUUGCUUUGGCUACGACAGUACCACUCUCAUAAUCUAGUUCCAAACCUUCUUUGCAGCAUCAGGGCUUACUAUCCCCCCCAACACAAAAUAUGCUCAGGAGCAAAGCUCUGAACGUAAAUGUUCCUUGACUUCCCCUCUCCUCUGUUCUUACUGGGGCAGAAUGUCUUCUCUACCUCUCCCUGCUGGAACCCUGGCACCUUCCUAGGACAGGUCAGAUGUCCCCCAAUCCUGGAAGUCCUCCCAAGACCCUCCCUUGGAGCCUUCUCUCUCUCAUCCUCACUGAGUUAGGCUGACACUUAUCAGAGUUUCCCUAUUAAGCCUGGGAUCACGAGUUACCAUUUUUAUAAACCCUCAAGUCCAUGGCCUGGGUCUUUUACUUUAGUAGAUGCACAGAAAAAAAUGCACUAUGAAUAGCUGAGUGAGGAAAGAAAACCUUUGACCUUAAAAGGAGCCAGCUGUAAUGUGGCCCCCAGACUUGGCCAGGCAGAGCAGAUUUGAAAGUUCAUUUGAGGUGCAGUUUGCACACCCCAGCAGUGCUUGUGAGUCACGAUGGUUCAAGUCACUAGGUGAGUCACACAUUACACUUAGCCUGGGGGAGAUGGGCUGCGAAAUGAGUUGGAAACAGUGGGCUCCAGCCCGGCGGGAGUCAGUCAGCUUCUCACUGAUAGCUCAGUGGGUGUGGGCUUCCUCAGUUCUCCACUGGCCACUUCACAGGGCCUACUCGGGGGUCUCAGGGGCUCACCCCCAUGAAGACAAAACAGCAUCAGGGCCCAUUUCUCAGGAGGGUGAGUAAGAGCCAUCUUUACAAACAGAGAUGCUCAUUUAGGGAAAAAGUUUGGGCAAGUUUUAUCAGCAAACAGAAAUACGCUGGUGGAGCAUAUAAUCAUAAAGUCAUGAUGUUGGAAGAAACUUACUCUUUGACCACACGAAAUCAUGUCAGUACUAAAUAGCUCCCACAUUGCAGAAUUCUGCUAAACACAUUGACUAACCCUACUUGAGGGGGGAUUAUAAGGUAAUGGGACUGUGGUCUCAAUGAACACAGCAGAGCUCAUAUUCGAAGGUGUAAAAUUUAUACAUUUAAAUCUCUAUGCCUUGGACACAGUCAUCUUGGGAGUUUAGGCUACAGCUGGAAAGAUCUGGGGAAACUGACUUUAAAAUCAUUCACUGAUUUCAGUGUGGGUGAGUACGGUGUUCUGAGCAAUGUCAGGGUCACUGGAAUAAGCACAUAGCUAUCUGGAUGGCUAUAAAUAACAUUGAUUAUCACUGUGAGUUCUUGUGUCACGUUUAAGAGCCAGUCUCAUGGCUCUAUAAUCUCAGAUGUUAGAUUUAACUCUGUUACUCACAUUCCGCUGAUGAAAAAUACCCCACAAGAAUAUUCUGUCCUCAUGCGACCUACACACUUUUGAUAGGGUCUCAGUGGUAGAAGACAUUUCCUGAAGUUGGCAGCAAAAAUAUCCCCUGACCCUCAAAGGCUCUUCUGUGAUGUGACCUUGCCAUUCCUCCAUCAAGGAGGGAAAUUAAAUUCUCUUCUCCUUGAACCUGAGCUGGCCUUAGGGACUUGCUCAAUCGUAGACUAUGGCAGGGAAUUCCCUGGUAGUCCAGAGGUUAGGACUCCGUGCUUCCACUGCAGGAGACAGGGGUUCAAUCCCCAGUCAAGGAACUAAGAACUCACAUUCUGUGUGGUACAGCCAAAAGAAAACUACAGCAGAAGUUAUAUUCUGGGGCUUCUGCAGCUAGGUCACAGGCAGUCUUGGAGUUCCUGCCUGGGUCCCUUGGAAAACUUCCUCUCAAAGGCUGACUGCCAUAAAGUGAGAGUGUCAAGCCACAUGCCCACACACAGGAGCUCAGAUUGCCAGCCUCAGCUGAACUCCCAGCCCAUGGCCAGCCUGCACUGCCAGCCAUGUGAGCGUGCCAUUCUGGAUGACCAGUCCAGUUGAACCUUUAGGUGACAACAGCCCCACCUAACACCAGACUUCAACCACACGAGAGAACCCAAGGAGACACACAGAGGAGAGACCCUGGGAGAAGAGGAAGCCAUGUGAAAUGGAGACAGUGCCAGGAGUGAAGCUGCCACCAGCCAAAGGAUGCCUGGGGCCACCAGAAGCUGGAAUAAGAGUUAAUUGGACUCAUAAAAUCUACUUGUCUAGACGACGUGAUACUUGGCCACUUAAUUCUGCACGUGACUGUAUGGUCAAGGCUGCUGCAUUUUUUUCCAGCCAAAGAGACGGAGAGGUCA